rnacentral:rRNA from 1 species
UGGGGAAUCUUGCGCAAUGGGCGAAAGCCUGACGCAGCCAUGCCGCGUGAAUGAUGAAGGUCUUAGGAUUGUAAAAUUCUUUCACCGGGGACGAUAAUGACGGUACCCGGAGAAGAAGCCCCGGCUAACUUCGUGCCAGCAGCCGCGGUAAUACGAAGGGGGCUAGCGUUGCUCGGAAUUACUGGGCGUAAAGGGCGCGUAGGCGGAUCGUUAAGUCAGAGGUGAAAUCCCAGGGCUCAACCCUGGAACUGCCUUUGAUACUGGCGAUCUUGAGUAUGAGAGAGGUAGGUGGAACUCCGAGUGUAGAGGUGAAAUUCGUAGAUAUUCGGAAGAACACCAGUGGAGAAGGCGACAUACUGGCUCAUUACUGACGCUGAGGCGCGAAAGCGUGGGGAGCAAACAGG